rnacentral:rRNA from 1 species
GAUGAACGCUGACAGAAUGCUUAACACAUGCAAGUCUACUUGAAUUUGGGUUUUUUACCCUCGAUUUGGGUGGCGGACGGGUGAGUAACGCGUAAAGAACUUGCCUCACAGCUAGGGACAACAUUUGGAAACGAAUGCUAAUACCUGAUAUUAUGAUUAUAAGGCAUCUUAGAAUUAUGAAAGCUAUAUGCGCUGUGAGAGAGCUUUGCGUCCCAUUAGCUAGUUGGAGAGGUAACGGCUCACCAAGGCGAUGAUGGGUAGCCGGCCUGAGAGGGUGAACGGCCACAAGGGGACUGAGACACGGCCCUUACUCCUACGGGGGCAGCAGUGGGGAAUAUUGGACAAUGGACCAAGAGUCUGAUCCAGCAAUUCUGUGUGCACGAUGACGUUUUUCGGAAUGUAAAGUGCUUUCAGUUGGGAAGAAAAAAAUGACGGUACCAACAGAAGAAGUGACGGCUAAAUACGUG